rnacentral:rRNA from 1 species
GUAGGUGGCAAGCGUUGUCCGGAAUUAUUGGGCGUAAAGCGCGCGCAGGCGGCUCUUUAAGUCUGAUGUGAAAGCCCACGGCUCAACCGUGGAGGGUCAUUGGAAACUGGAGAACUUGAGUACAGAAGAGGAAAGCGGAAUUCCACGUGUAGCGGUGAAAUGCGUAGAGAUGUGGAGGAACACCAGUGGCGAAGGCGGCUUUCUGGUCUGUAACUGACGCUGAGGCGCGAAAGCGUGGGGGAGCAAACAGGAUUAGAUACCCUGGUAGUCCACGCCGUAAACGAUGAGUGCUAAGUGUUAGGGGGGUUCCGCCCCUUAGUGCUGCAGCUAACGCAUUAAGCACUCCGCCUGGGAGUACGGCCGCAAGGCUG